rnacentral:rRNA from 1 species
AGUCGAACGAGAUCUUCGGAUCUAGUGGCAGACGGGUGAGUAACGCGUGGGAACCUGCCCAGUAGUAGAGGACAACUUGGGGAAACUUAAGCUAAUACUUUAUACGUCCUUCGGGAGAAAGCUUUAUGCGCUAUUGGAUGGGCCCGCGUUAGAUUAGUUUGUUGGUGAGGUAAUGGCUCACCAAGACUACGAUCUAUAGCUGGUCUGAGAGGAUGAUCAGCCACACUGGGACUGAGACACGGCCCAGACUCCUACGGGAGGCAGCAGUGGGGAAUAUUGGACAAUGGGGGCAACCCUGAUCCAGCGAUGCCGCGUGAGUGAUGAAGGCCCUAGGGUUGUAAAACUCUUUCGUCAGGGAAGAUAAUGACGGUACCCGAAGAAGAAGAUCCGGCUAACUCCGUGCCAGCAGCCGCGGUAAUACGGAGGGAUCUAGCGUUAUUCGGAAUUACUGGGCGUAAAGCGAGCGUAGGCGGAUUUGUAAGUUGGAGGUGAAAUCCCAGAGCUUAACUCUGGAACUGCCUUCAAAACUACAUUUCUUGAGUUUGG